CGGGGUGCAGCAGGCGCGAAAACUUUGCAAUACACGAAAGUGUGACAGGGUCAUCCCGAGUGCCGACCGCUGAGGUUGGCUUUUACCCAGUCUAGAAAGCUGGGGGAAUAAGGAGAGGGCAAGUCUGGUGUCAGCCGCCGCGGUAAUACCAGCUCUCCGAGUGGUGUGGACGUUUAUUGGGCCUAAAGCAUCCGUAGCUGGCUGAACAAGUCCCCUGUUAAACCCACCGAUUUAAUCGUUGGUCUGCGGGGGAUACUGCUCGGCUAGGGGACGAGAGAGGCAGACGGUAUUCCCGGGGUAGGGGUGAAAUCCUAUAAUCCCGAGAAGACCACCAGUGGCGAAGGCUGUCUGCUAGAACGCGCCCGACGGUGAGGGAUGAAAGCUGGGGGAGCGAACCGGAUUAGAUACCCGGGUAGUCCCAGCUGUAAACGAUGCAGACUAGGUGUUUGGACGGCCACGUGCCGUUCUAGUGCCGCAGGGAAGCUGUUAAGUCUGCCGCCUGGGGAGUACGAUCGCAAGAUUGAAACUUAAAGGAAUUGGC
rnacentral:rRNA from 1 species